UGCCGUUAAACAUGUCCCGACUUCGUCAGUGCCAUAACCCUAAAAAAAUGGAAAAUUGUUUUUUUGGCCUCAUAUGUUCAUUUAUGUGUUUUCUUCAUUGUGCAAUAAUUUCAUAUAAUUUAGUUAUCUUAAAUCAAGAUAUUGCGCCUGUGUCGUUAUGACAUUUUCCUGUUUUGGCGUUCCCAGCGAUAGCAAGCCCGCCACAGGACAGUUUGGGUCACGCUGUGGUCGAGAGUAGAUGUGUGCACAAUGAAUACCAAUUCAAGAAUCGCCUUGAUGCUACGCCUAGUUCGCGACAAUUCCUUACAAUACGAAGUAGAAAAGGACAGUGAUUUUCUAUAACGUCAAAAAUUGAAUUUGAUGGCCCUGGUCACAUUGAAUGCAUGAAAGGCGUGACUGGUAAGGGUCUACUUAAGGACUAAUUAAGGCAAUUAACCAUAAAUUUCUUAUUUGCGGCCAUACGCAAAACGAAGAAAACGCAGUUCAUUCUGUCAUAGAGAAACAGGUAAAGAGAUACCUAAAAUGUGGACCGAUUUAUAUGUAUCUCAGCAAUAUGUGACUCUAAUUAGAGAAGCAAAGAAGACCGCAAAAACCAUUUUAAGUGAAAGAAAUGUCUCAUGCAGAUUUUUAUGAUUUCAAGGCACUCCAAAAACAAUUGGGUGCCAACUUUGAUGUUGAUGAAGCUGGCCAGAAGCAUAAGCUUACUGAAAUCUAGAUUGCAAAGUACGAAAGGCCGGACUACUACUUAAUAGCUACUUCAUACGAAGACAUAGAUAAAAUGAAAAAGUUUUCUUCAAAAAGCGACAAAGCAACAAAAAUCUUGUCAAAUUAUUGCUGACGCAUGC
rnacentral:lncRNA from 1 species